rnacentral:rRNA from 1 species
GAUGAACGCUAGCUACAGGCUUAACACAUGCAAGUCGAGGGGUAACGAGAGGAAAGCUUGCUUUCCUUGUCGACGACCGGCGCACGGGUGAGUAACGCGUAUCCAACCUGCCCCCAACUAGGGAAUAACCUUGCGAAAGUAAGACUAAUACCCUAUAAUUUCCUCAGAUGUCAUCUGACGAGGAAUAAAGAUUUAUCGGUUGUGGAUGGGGAUGCGUCUGAUUAGCUUGUUGGCGGGGUAACGGCCCACCAAGGCAACGAUCAGUAGGGGUUCUGAGAGGAAGGUCCCCAACAUUGGAACUGAGACACGGUCCAAACGCCUACGGGAGGCAGCAGUGAGGAAUAUUGGUCAAUGGGCGGAAGCCUGAACCAGCCAAGUAGCGUGCAGGAUGACGGCCCUAUGGGUUGUAAACUGCUUUUAUACAGGAAUAAAGUUAGCCACGUGUGGUUAUUUGUAGGUACUGUAUGAAUAAGGACCGGCUAAUUCCGUGCCAGCAGCCGCCGUAA